UAGAUAGAUAGAUUGCUGGGUGCCCUCUAUAGGGAUAAUCGGGAAUGCGGUGAAAUUCCGCAGCGGACCCGCCACUGUGAAUGGGGACGAACGCCGCCAAUGCCACGGGAUCAACUGAUUCUGGAAGGCGCGGUCAGUAGGAAGAACCUAAGUCAGGAGACCGGCCAAGCAGUCAGGAUAGAUG
rnacentral:ncRNA from 21 species